CCCCCUUGAUAGUCGCUGUUCCUCUUGGCAUCGUGUUUCCAUUCCGGUGUGGACAUGGAGUCUGGCUUGCAGAUGAGCAGCCCACAGGGAGUCAUCAGGCGCUGCUGCUGCUCAGCCUGGAGAGUGGAGAAACCCACGCGUGGCGUGGCCUGGCCACCUGCACCAGCUCACCAGCCGGGCCGCAGAGAUGCUGCUCUUUCCCUGUGCUUUCGCCUCGUUACGGGAUGCUGGGCUGACACCUAGGACUGCACCUCUUCCUAGAAUCUUAGCUGUC
rnacentral:lncRNA from 1 species